ACUGGGCCUGAGAGCAGUGACAGAGGCCCAGGCAGGGCAGGUGUGGGCAGAGAUGUUGUGUAGGCACAGCAGUGAUGGAGAGAGGCCACUGAGAGCUGGCCUGGCCAUGUGGAGAGCCCUGUGCGUGGGCUUCUUGCCCAUUGUAGCAGUCACUGGCCAGGUGACCUUGGAGCAGAACCCCAGGGGACUGACGGUGCAAGAGGGAAAUGAAGUCACCCUCAAGUGCAAUAUGGAGAGAGGUGAUAUGAGCAGAUACUACAUGAACUGGUACCGUCAGGGCCCACGGGGUAAGGAAUGGAUUUCCACGGACGGUUCUACCUAUGAAGGUUUCAAAGAUCGCUUUAAGGCAAGACUGGAGAGCUCCAAGAACAGCUACCCACUACAGAUCCUGGCAGCAGAGCCAGGUGAUGCAGCAGUAUACUACUGUAGAGCAGACCCACCCUGAAGUAGCUCUGCGG